AAAUAUAAAGCGUGGCUGUGCUAGCCACAAAUGUCAGUCUGCAUUUGAACAAUCAAGAGGCAGCACAUAUGCUGCAGGCUCUGGAAAACACGGACCAUUGCAACACCAAGUGAUUGAAUUUCUUACAUAUCAAUAGAAACUCAGGUUCCUUGUACUGUGAGGCCAUAUACAUCAUCGCAAUGGAGGCCAUCUAGUGGUUGCUUUUGGUUACUCAGGCCCACUGAUUUAUGUCAGUUUAAUUGAUUCAGCUUUUUGUAUAAAAUCCUAAAAGGGACUCUUUGGUGCAUCAAUCUUGAAAUGAUCUUCUUAGGAUGAUCCGAACAAGGUUUUCCAUCCACUUGAUUGACUCAUUUUGAUGUGUUUUUACUUUUAAUUUGACAAGUUGAGUUCAGUUCUAACAUCACUCCUGAAGAAGCUCUCACGAGCGAAACAUGUAGAGAGAACUGCAACAAAUUGUUAUGUGAACUGAAGUUUCCAUGUUAUACACUUCAGCUGGUCUUGUAUUGAUUUCUAUAUAUGUUUUUGUAUUAUCUAAAAAUAUUUUAUUAAAAAAUCUUUUCUACUUUUCUAAAAACCAUUGUGUCUUUCACAAUCCAUUUGCACCGCAUAAUAGUCCCAGGGUCCUCAGGUACCCUAUUUCCCUCUUUUUAUACUCCCUCUUC